UCGGUUUAUAGCACUCAGCUGAGAAGCAUCGGGAUGAAGUCUCACGCUCGGCUCCUCUGGCUCGUCCUGCUCUGGAUUCAGGGCUCCAGCGGGGACAUUGUGAUGAACCAGACUCCAGAGUCUCUGGCAGUGUCGCCAGGAGAUACUGCCACCAUCACCUGCAAAGCCGUUACAUACAGUGGUAGCAACGUAGCCUGGUUCCAACAGAAAUCAGGACAACCUCCUAAGCUUCUUAUCUACAGCACAAACUCGCGGCCCUCCGGGAUCCCCGACCGCUUCAGUGGCAGUAGGUCGGGCAGUGACUACACUCUCACCAUCAGCCGGGUGGAAGUAGGCGAUGCUGGCGACUAUUACUGUCAGCAGCAUAGCAGCUACCCUCUCACACAGUGA